UACGUAGGGUGCAAGCGUUGUCCGGAAUUAUUGGGCGUAAAGAGCUCGUAGGCGGUUUGUCGCGUCGGCUGUGAAAACCCGGGGCUCAACCCCGGGCCUGCAGUCGAUACGGGCAGACUAGAGUGCGGUAGGGGAGACUGGAAUUCCUGGUGUAGCGGUGGAAUGCGCAGAUAUCAGGAGGAACACCAGUGGCGAAGGCGGGUCUCUGGACCGUUACUGACGCUGAGGAGCGAAAGCGAGGGGAGCAAACAGG
rnacentral:rRNA from 1 species